CAGUAGCCGCGGUAAUACGUAGGUGGCAAGCGUUGUCCGGAAUUAUUGGGCGCAAAGGGCUCGCAGGCGGUUUCUUAAGUCUGAUGUGAAAGCCCCCGGCUCAACCGGGGAGGGUCAUUGGAAACUGGGAAACUUGAGUGCAGAAGAGGAGAGUGGAAUUCCACGUGUAGCGGUGAAAUGCGUAGAGAUGUGGAGGAACACCAGUGGCGAAGGCGACUCUCUGGUCUGUAACUGACGCUGAGGAGCGAAAGCGUGGGGAGCGAACAGGAUUAGAUACCCCCGUAGUCCAUGUCUCUUAUAC
rnacentral:rRNA from 1 species